rnacentral:rRNA from 1 species
AACGAACGCUGGCGGCAGGCCUAAAACGUGCAAGUCGAACGCUGUAGCAAUACAGAGUGGCGCACGGGUGAGUAACACGUGGGAAUGUGCCUUUUGGUACGGAACAACCUUUGGAAACGAAAGCUAAUACCGUAUGGUCCCUUCGGGGUAAAGAUUUAUCGCCAAAAGAGCAGCCCGCGUCUGAUUAGCUAGUUGGUAGGGUAAUGGCCUACCAAGGCGACGAUCAGUAGCUGGUCUGAGAGGACGAUCAGCCACACUGGGACUGAGACACGGGCCAGACCCCUACGGGGGGCAGCAGUUGGAAAAAUUGGACAAGGGGCGAAAGCCUGAUCCACCCAUGCCGCGUGGGUGAAGAAGGCCUUCGGUUUGUAAAGCUCUUUAGUCCACGAAUAUAAUGACUGUAGUGGAAGAAUAACCCCCGGCUAACUUCGUGCCAGCAGCCGCCGCCGUAA